rfam:Paeniclostridium sordellii ATCC 9714 gcs9714.contig.40, whole genome shotgun sequence.
UGUGGUUACUAUAGCAAAGAGGAUACACCUGUUCCCAUUCCGAACACAGAAGUUAAGCUCUUUAGCGCCGAUGGUACUUGGUGGGAAGCUGCCUGGGAGAGUAGGACGUAGCCGCGU